GUCGAACUUGCAACCUCGUGGUUAUUAGUUGGAUUUGUUUCUGUUGCGCCACCAUGGGAACUCCUAUUUUAUUUUUAAUUUAACUUUUGUUGAGGUAACAUUGGCUUAUAACAUUAUAUAAGUUUGAUGCGGACAACAUUAUACUUCUUACACUACAAAAAAAAAAAAAAAAAAAAAAAGAAGUGUUUACUGAGAGCCUGCUCUAAGCCAGCCACUGUUUGAGAGGCUAGAGGCUCAGAAAUGAGUCCCUGAAAGAGUUUGUAAAAAUAACCACAACUUCCUCUCCUUGCGUUUAGGACCAAGUGAUGUUGCAGGUCCUUCCAACUAAGAAACAGAAUCUAUUUUCUACCCUUUGAAUCUGGGUCGUUCAAUGGUAUUGUCACAAAUGUGACUCAUUCAGAGCCCCGUCUUUCAUGCAGCCUCGGAGGGUCAUUCGUGGUACAGCAGGAGUCGGGAGGCAGGGGGUUGGCCCAGGCUCAUCGACAACUAGCUGAUUUAAAGAGUAUAAUGCAUCCUGUUCUGUGCCAACGCGUCGAUUCAGUCAGUGCACUGCAUGGGAUCUGGCACAGGGUAUGGCUUUUAUUUUACAGAUUAGAAAAAAACAAACCCUAAGAGGUAAGAAGCUUGGUCAGGAUCAUGCAGGUAGUUUGUACAAGGUGAGGGCCAGGAUCUAUGUUUCUUGAUUCCCGCAGUGGAGGUCCCUCCCUAAUACUAUAGAGCAUUUAUCUGUAAGAGCCACACACCCUCAUCACAGCAGCCCAGACAGUCCGUCCUGCCUUAUGCCAAAGGCCAGGGAAACCCAAGCAGGGAGACAAACAGCAUGUUCUUAAUACCUCAGAACCACGUUCCCUGAUGGCGGGCACACUCACUCUGAGUGUGCUUGUGCACAUGCAGUUUAUCACAAGUUUCCAGAUGAUUGGUUGUACAAACCGAGCAUGUAUGUGGCAGUUGGGCAUGGAUUUUCCAGGAUUCUCAGGACCUCUGGGCUGUGGCGUUUCUUAGUGGAGAAUUAAAG
rnacentral:lncRNA from 1 species